rnacentral:rRNA from 1 species
CAGCCGAAAGGCUGACUAAUACCGGAUACGGUUUUUUAGGCUUCGGUCUUUUAAAUUAAAGGUGACCUCUUCAUGAAAGUUGCCGUUCAUAGAUGGGCCCGCGUACCAUUAGCUUGUUGGUGGUAAUGGCCUACCAAGGCGACGAUGGUUAGCUGGUCUGAGAGGAUGGUCAGCCACACUGGAACUGGAACACGGUCCAGACUCCUACGGGAGGCAGCAGUGAGGAAUUUUGCGCAAUGGGGGAAACCCUGACGCAGCAACGCCGCGUGAGCGAAGAAGGCCUUCGGGUCGUAAAGCUCUGUCAAGUGGGAAAAAAAUCUUUUGAUCAAUAGUCAAAAGACUUGAUGGUACCACUGGAGGAAGCACCGGCUAACUCCGUGCCAGCAGCCGCGGUAAUACGGAGGGUGCAAGCGUUGUUCGGAUUUACUGGGCGUAAAGAGCGUGUAGGCGGUUUAGCAAGUCAGAUGUGAAAGCCCUGGGCUCAACCCGGGAAGUGCAUUUGAAACUGCUUCACUAGAGUAUGGGAGAGGAGAUUGGAAUUCCUGGUGUAGAGGUGAAAUUCGUAGAUAUCAGGAGGAACACCCGUGGCGAAGGCGAUUCUCUGGACCAAUACUGACGCUGAGACGCGAAAGCGUGGGGAGCAAACAGGAUUAGAUACCCUGGUUGUCCACGCCGUAAACGAUGAGAACUAGGUGUAGUGGGUAUUGACCCCUGCUGUGCCGAAGUUAACGCAUUAAGUUCUCCGCCUGGGGAGUACGGCCGCAAGGCUAAAACUCAAAGGAAUUGACGGGGGCCCGCACAAGCGGUGGAGCAUGUGGUUUAAUUCGACGCAACGCGAAGAACCUUACCUGGGUUUGACAUCCUCUGACCGUCUGGGAAACCAGAUUUUUCCGGCUGCCGGAACAGAGUGACAGGUGCUGCAUGGCUGUCGUCAGCUCGUGUCGUGAGAUGUUGGGUUAAGUCCCGCAACGAGCGUAACCCUUGUCUUUAGUUGCCAUUAUUAAGUUAGGCACUCUAAAGAGACUGCCUCGGUUAACGGGGAGGAAGGUGGGGAUGACGUCAAGUCCUCAUGGCCUUUAUAUCCAGGGCUACACACGUGCUACAAUGGGCUGUACAAAGGGUUGCUAACCCGCGAGGGUGCGCUAAUCCCAAAAAGCAGUUCUCAGUUCGGAUUGAAGUCUGCAACUCGACUUCAUGAAGGUGGAAUCGCUAGUAAUCGUGGAUCAGCAUGCCACGGUGAAUACGUUCCCGGGCCUUGUACACACCGCCCGUCACACCACGAAAGUCGACUGUACCAGAAGUUGCUGGGCUAACCUUUUCGGAGGAGGCAGGUACCUAAGGUACGGCCGGUAAUUGGGGUGAAGUCGUAACAAGGUA